UGGGGAAUAUUGCACAAUGGGGGAAACCCUGAUGCAGCAACGCCGCGUGAGUGAUGAAGGUUUUCGGAUCGUAAAGCUCUGUCUUUGGGGAAGAUAAUGACGGUACCCAAGGAGGAAGCCACGGCUAACUACGUGCCAGCAGCCGCGGUUUUACGUAGGUGGCGAGCGUUAUCCGGAUUUACUGGGCGUAAAGGGAGCGUAGGCGGAUGAUUAAGUGGGAUGUGAAAUACCCGGGCUCAACUUGGGUGCUGCAUUCCAAACUGGUUAUCUAGAGUGCAGGAGAGGAGAGUGGAAUUCCUAGUGUAGCGGUGAAAUGCGUAGAGAUUAGGAAGAACACCUGUGGCGAAGGCGACUCUCUGGACUGUAACUGACGCUGAGGCUCGAAAGCGUGGGAGCAAUCGU
rnacentral:rRNA from 1 species